rnacentral:tRNA from 1 species
GCCUUCAUGGUGUAAUGGUCAGCGCACUCAGCUCGUAUUUGAGAGUCCGAGAUUCGAGUCGCGGUGAGGGCA